rnacentral:lncRNA from 1 species
CAACAAACGCCUGCAGAUUUUAGGAUUUAUUGGUCCGGGUCCCGGAUGUGUUUUGUGCAUCGAAAUGACAUCCAGCGCCGGUUGCCAUGGAAACUUAAGUCCAUUGGUCAAGGUCCCGGUACGCGGUCAUUAAAGGAAGGGGAGGCGCGCCAUUAAACGGCCGGCCAACCUGUUCCGGCCCGGUCGGCCAUGCCGCUCACCUGCGCCCGGACCCACGGUAAUUUAUAAUGAAGCCGGGACGCCAUUGGACGCCCGGUCUCCGCCCACCUCCGACGCUUUAAAAACAAAGUGGCGGAGUAAAGGAGAAGAGAGGAGCGGGAGGAAGCCGAGAAAGGGGAAAAAAACCCGGCCCGGCCACGGGAUUUGUUGUCCUCCUACCCACCCUGUUUGGCGUCUAGCCAACCAGGGAGUGGCUUGUCCGACGCUGACUGGUUGAAAUCUUUUAACCCCACCGUUGCGACUCGAGUCGACCGCCUGGAUUUGCAUCAACAAUGUCGUCCGUUGCCAUGGCCACCCGGCUUAUUGAUUGGCGCCGACGCCGGCUCUAUCUUCCCUCCCUACCUUUCCGUCCCCGGUCACGUGGUCCGCGGAUUUUCCUAGUAGAUAAGGCCGACCCCGGUCCCCUAAUUCCCAUUUCUCCACCCGACCCGACCCGUCCGGACACCCGGCCCGACCGACCCCGCCUCGCCCCUUUUUCUGCUCUUAAUCCUGGAUUAAUCGGGCAUUUUCUUCCCGGGCCGAAACUGGCCCGCGGUAAUAGGCCGGCUCCCCAGAUUUGUCGGAUUAACCCCCGGCACUGGGCAUUUCACUAUCGAUCGGAGUCCAGUUUUAAAGUGGACGGCGCCAUAUUUAAAAGUCAGGUGGGCUUCUCCCGGUGGCUCCCGUCCCGGACUGGGAAAGACUCUUUACGUCGGAUGUAGCCGACUGUUAAUUAAGCCCUGGGCUGUCUCCUUCGAUGAGGACUUUAUCCUUUCUGCUCUAUCGAAGCGUGGGCCUGCAGGUGGAACGCUCUCCUAACCCGCGUGCCUCCUUCUGCCUGAUUAGUUCAUUCCAGAAUAUGAUUGGUUCCUAUCGGCCGUUAACUCGCUCCAGUGUAUCCAGCACUCGGGUGUCCUCCUUAAUAAAUCCGGCACCCGGAUGGGGAUGUCCCGAGAAAAAGCCCCGGACGGAUUAUUUUCUUUGGGGGGCGGCGGCCAUUAAGAAAAACGAUAACUAUAGGUUGAGCGGGGGAAGAAGUUAGUUAGAUGGGGAGAUGAUGCGGAAGACACUCGGCUCGUUUGGUUUUUCUAUCGAUAACUGGAGACGGAUUCGCUGUGUGUGCGCGCCGGGCGUACGACCAAUUCUCCUAUGGCAUCGAUCGCCUAUCGAUGACUCAUCGCCGUCCCUCUUUUAACUCUCCAGUUUAGCAUACCUUGCUAGCUUCUCGUUAAAUUCGUUUUAUAAUGUCCGUUUUCCUCUACCCGGGUGGACGAAAAUUGGCGGAAGAUUAUCUAUUAUUUCUAGAUUACGGCUGCCAUCGAUUUUUCUUAACUAUGGAGGGAUGGACCGCCUACGUCUACUUUAACUAACUUGUCGCUGUGACUAUCCUAUUCGAUAUCCUGGAAAGGUGGAGAAAGCCAAGCAAUUCUGGCCUUUUGGUGUCGACUGGCCAUUUAAUUAUUAGUAGCCACCGUGUUUUCCUUCACCUCUGUCACCGACCCGUCGACGGCUACCUAUUUAUGGAGACGGACGGCGGUCGACACCACCGCGACCUUUGGCUAGACGCGUCCGUGGGGUAACAAUGACGCUGGCUGUGGUUCUUCCAGACGUGGCAUACUGAUGUCCACUCGGCGUUGGAGUGGACUGACACUAAACUUUACGUCGGUAGCCCACGGUGACUGAGAUGCCGCUGGGGUAUAAUGUAAACUGGAGUUUUUGGGACGGGGUUGGAAGAUUUUGGACGGCUCCCCGGGUGGUAAUUUCGGUAAAAUUCCCGAUAACGGUUGUCUUGGCCGUGGUGACAAAUGAUCUAGAUCUCAUCUCUGUCUGGUUCUCGUUAGAGAGACGCCGACGACAAAGUGUCCUGUCAUAUCGCAGCUUACCUGAUGGACGGUCUGAUAGAGAAGUAGGAGAGAGCGGCGGCCAUGCUCUGCUAGAGUAAACAGCGAGUGGCGGUGGAGAGAAAGAGAGAGGUCCAGGUAAAAAUAUUCGGCUGUUGAUGUUCCCCGGUGCCCGUUAAAUUUCAUGAGACGUACACUUCAUCAGAAGCCGAGGGAGAAAAACAGCCGGUAUCCGAGCGCGGUAAUGUCCGGCCCAGCCGUUUUCAUGCAUGACUAACACGCUGGCCGAUUCUCCCUUCUCUCGACUUUCUAAAAUACAACCACCAUUUCCACGCCGUACAUUACAGUCGGCAGUAAGCCCGUAUCUAUAUCUGUCUAUCUAUAGAAGUCGUAUAUAUAUAGAUAUAUAUAUACUGUAUACGGGAUGCGCUCACUGGGCAGUCAGCGCCACGUUGGCUCUCGCCGCGCCGCGCUGCGCCCCACUACCACUAGGGAUGCGUCGGUCCGUUCGCCUCCCGAAAUCUUGGGAUAGCUUCCCUGGAGCAGACGGACGCCGCCAGAUCGGAAUGCCGGAAGCGUCGACUGGCGGCCAGACGUCCUCGGAAUGUAUGCGCGUACGUUAUCAAUAUGGAGGAUGGUCUGCCGUCCAUCCGUUUCAUUGGCUGACCCACCCGUGCCUUUCCCUUCAUUUUAAAGGAGACGGGUCGGAUCGAGCCUUCCCUAUUCCUUAAUUAGUGGACUGUCUGGCUUCUCUCUCCCCAAUAAAGCGGUUUUCGACCUUAAUAUAUCUUUCUGGACUAGCGCGAGUUAAAAAAUCCUCCCUCGCUUCUCUAAUACGAAAAUUUCCAUUUAAAAGUAUAAAUGCUGAAGAAAAUGUGGCAAAAUAAAAUAUAGGAUUCAGAAUAGUCGCUUCUUUCUCUAUAAAAAUAAUGAAAGGUGCAUCAACGAAUUUAGCAGUCAUUGCCUUUCUUUCUGGGCAGAUGAAACUCACUCCCGCUCGGUUACGUAACCGUUAGACGUUAGACGUUACUAAUUGGAGACGAACUCUUAAGGAACGAAAGGAGCGGAACAUCGCGCCUCUUCUGUUUAUCCUAUCGAUCCGACACAGGGAGUUGUAAUUCGUAUUAAUUUGUCAAAAGUGGUGAUAGAUGGUGGUUUCCGGGGACCGACCCUUUCCGACUAUACUGUCCAAAAGUAGAGAUAGAUAAUUGUCGCGUGUCGCGCUCUAACGAACUUAGAUCCGACCGGAGUUUAAAGGAAGGAAGGAAAGUAAUAGGAAACGACAGGACGGGCGAGAAACGUCUUUAUUUUUGUUGUAAAUUAAUUUAGUUAGGGAGUGGACGGGAUCGAUCGGUGGAGAAACGCUCGACUGCCUAACUCGUAGAUUUGUGUUUGUGAAUAGAAAAACAUUAGACUAAUGACAGGAACUGGGUUAAUGUCUCGCCAUCGAUCGACCGGCCUGGACUUCCGACCCUCCAGAUAAUCAAAACUGGAGAAAGUAAUUGGCUCCUUCCCGAAUUUUAAUUGUUUUCUCUGUCCCGGCAUUUUCCGCUACACUAACUUCGGGAAAUUAAAAGUCGCGGACCCCCCAUGUGAUCUUCGUGUUUAUAACUGCCACUUGUAACUCGUUUGCUAGGUCAGCAUUAACUAUUAUAGUUAGAACAAAUUGGAAAAAAUGAGUCAUUCAUCGCCACUCUCUCUUAUUUUAGGACUUCGAUGGCCGAAAUCUUCCUCGAAAGGUUAAUAUAUUAGGAAGACGUCUCCAAAUGCUUGAUAUGACGAUAAGUGAGCCGGAUGGCGUGUCGAACUUUAUCUGUCAGCCCAAGUUGUUAUAAUAUCGGUGGACGUAUUUCUCGCCCUUACCGAUGGGACCUUUUAUUCUGUCGAUGGAUUCGAAUGAGCCUUAAGGUCCCACGCUAUCGAUUAGUGCUUUUGACCCCGUGUCCACUUUGGGUUGGGAUUUAUUAUAUCCAGUUGUCUUAGCCACUCUUAAUCGUACUAUUUUUUCCUCUGAUUGGAAAGUUCCGAUGCUGGUUUUAAUUUCCUGUAGUUACUAUUUCCAUGCCAGACUGAUGGAGAAUAAUUUAUAGAUUUAAAGGAAAGAAGGUAGCGGUGGGAGUGACGAGAAGUAAAUUUGGAUGGCCAGUGGGCGCCGAGAUCGAUAGCUAUCAAUCUGCACCGCCAGCCGAGAAAGACCGGUGGGGAGUCAUCGUCGGUUCGGGUUAUCCACCCGGAUAGUUUCUUCCUUCCCCGACUCUACCUGGCACUGGACAGAAGAAGACCGUUAAUGUAGUAAAGAGUCAUCCACCAUCACACUCGUCGCAUUUUUCUAAAUACUUUACGUGGCAUAGAUUGGAGUCUCUUUCACUUGAGUUUGUGAAGGUGAAAGUAAGGAAGACGUUGGUCGAAUUUUCUCCGUUAGAAAAGUCGAUGAAGCGUGUCCGUCUCUCAUUUCCAAUUAGACACUCCGUUCAAUUGACAAACUUUAGCCGUAAUUUUCAUUAAGCGUUUAUCGGGGCAACUUUAAUCCCAGACCAAGCGUUCGGGUGGGUGCUUAGAUCUUAGAAGCGAGAGAAGGUGGCUGCAAAUCCGAAGAUGGAUGUCGGUUAACACUGGGGCUAUCUGCCUAAGUGGAAAGGGAAGGAUACAAAUCGAAUCUCAGUCUUCUUUCUUUCGCCUCUUCCCAGUCACUUUCUGCCAGAAGUAUUAGCGGGUCCUGACAGAGUUUGAGCACGUAAUUUAUUACCGCUUCCGUCGCCUAUAAUCUCCCUGGGGUUUGUGUAAAGGAUUACACUGUGGGCAUUAGGACUAUCUAGCCACACCAGACUUUGUCUCUGUUUGUCCAGGUGGAUGUUUAAAAAGAGUGGUGCAUGCUCGCGCCGUGUCCGGCCAUCCAUCUCGACACUACUGGCGUUGGCUGGCUUGUCUCCAGCCUUCUUCCGUCCUAUAGCCGCUGAUGGAUUAACGCGGCUUCCAACAAUCCUCUGUAGAUGGCCUGUCUCGAUUGGCAACGCGCAACUUUUCAUUCCGUCUUUUUAACCUCUCCGAAUACAAUCUGCCGCUACAGAUGUUUUCUCCGUCCGACGGCCAGAAAAUUUCCUUCUUACCAUCCCUCCCCCGGCCAUGCAUCAUGUUUAGUUCCGACGCCAUUCGCCUUGUUAGUUUAGCCCAAAGACGGGCAAUUUUCUCUCUUAAACAUUAUGAUUUAUCUACCACUCUUCGCUUCCGACCGGCUUCUUUCACCGACAACAGACCUAAAGUCGCCUUUGACCAACUUUCUUUUUCUUUUUUUCUCGAGAGCAGUAGAGCGAAUCCGGCAGCGAACGGCUCUUAAUUAUUUUCUAUUUGAAUAGGAAGAGCGCGGUGGAUGGGAAGGUGACGACAAUAUUGCGUGGCUUCGACAACCCCGUGACAAUCAACAGAUGUCUGGCCACCGAGAUGCGGCAAAUGUUACUGGAUUGCUUCGGAACCCGCGGCUGUUUGGAUUGGUUGAUGUGUAAGCACUCAUCUUAUUGCCUCCUCUCUUCUGAUCUUCCUCGUCUCUCUUCGAAUUCAAAUAAACUUCUUUAUGGCCUCACUUUGGCAAAAAUUACCCUGGAGUUUUGAUCUUUCAACCGUCCCACGCUAAUUUCUCUUCAGACUAAUUUAUUCCAUCCAUCAAGUUUCCAAUUUUUCUCGUUUUCUGUAGCCAUAUUUGUUUUGGAGUAAAAAAGUGCCGAUGGCCAUGGAGUUGGCUCUACUAACGUCCACUUCCCUGUCCUUCCACUCAUAUAUUUUAUUUAAUUUCGCUCUAAGGCUAGUUCGGGGUGAUGAUACUGGUUAAGGUGUAUCGAUGAUAAUUUUCUUGAAUAAAUCGAUAGACAUGCCACCUGAAAGAUUAAACUGUUACGCGUUUCCGGCCCUUACCUUUCGAUUUACGAUGGUAACAGAAGUUAGAAACUAUCAAAACCGGUUUAUACGGUAUCCGUUCUUUUCCAGAUAAUUUGACAGAUAAAGGAACGGGUUGGAGCGCGAUUAGCGCGCAUUAUACCAAGGUGCGGGUGGGAAGCGGUGGGAGAAGGAGGCGAAAGACACUUAAAAGGGAUAAUAAUCGAUACCGGUUUAGCAGCCGGCAGCGCAUUUAGCUGUGAGUUAGUGUUUUGCAGAAAUUCGUCCUUGAGAACGGACCGUCACUCUCCGACUCGUUUUCUAACGAGAAUUGAUGUAAUCCGAAUGUCGCCGUUUAACCUCCAUCUCCCGACGGGGCGGCUCUUCCCCUUAAAGUGUGACGUGUCGAAAUACGCGCCGUGAUAAAUAACCACUUCUCCUAAAUAUUAAAUGGCGCGCACGUCGGAAUGCGACGCGGCGCGAGGCCACGACGCUCUUCGCCUAUUGGUAAAUAAAUACUGUCAGCUUUAAUGGAAUAAACGGAGGUAAUUACUACAAGAAAAAAUAUCCAUCGGUUACGUUUUAAUUGGCGUAACGGCUUCGUAUAUCAGACAAUUCACCCAACAAGUUUUUCCCAUCCGGAUGCGGAGAGAGGAAAAAAAGGAAAUAAAAAAAGCGGAAAAUUUUCGCAAAUGUUCUACAGGCCAGACGGGGAAACAAAUGUGGGUGACAGAAGAAACAGCUAAGUAAAGGAGAAGUUUAAAUUAGAUGGAGGAGUAAAAGCUUUGGCGCGCGUGACAGUCUAAACAACACGUCGCUAAUCGAAUGCGUCCAGGAUUUUUUUAUAUGAAAAAUGACCUUUAAAGAGGAAGGGCGAGGGGAGAGUCCCGGCCGGAGCUGGCUGGUGUCGGGAAAUACGGGGCAUCACUCUCAUCAGAAAGGUUCGACGGAGCGUGGCGUUAUUAAAUUGGAAACAAGGGAAGCGUUCGAUCCGCGGGGCCGUGUCGCCUGGUCGCCAGACGCCGUGUCGUGGCCGCUAUUGGACACGGUCUUUAUUACGGGCACGUCCAUUUCUGGCGGCCGCGGCUACGAGCUCCAUUCCUUGUUCCAUCGACAGUUGGCCGACGACUGACAAUAACGGAUAGAAACCUGGCCGACACACGUCGUGGCUGCUUUCUCUACCGUCCCGGAUAACGCGCCAACACAUUUCGCAUCUCUGGCUUUUGACAUCAGUCGUCUUGUUCUUCCUCUUCUCUUCCAUUUCCCUAAUUAAAAUCUCCAAAAAUUCCCGUCCGAAACCGAUAAAGUUUGGCGCUUUUAAUUAAUUUUGGACAGAAAGCCAGCCAGCUUCUAGUUAACUCGUUUCCUGAAUUCCUGGUGUUCUUCCGGCUGCUUUUAUCCCACCUCUUAAUAUCCGGUCACGCCUCGAUUACUGUCUUUUGUUAUCAUUUUUAUCCAUCUUUUAAAAUUUAUUUAAGGAAGAAAUAAAUUCUUGACUAUUUUCUCCCAAAGUUGAGAAUAAUUUUAUCAUCUUUAGUUGGCGCUUGCAGUGAAUGGGAAGCAUCGAGAACACAUUGUUAUUAUAAAUGCAAAACGUUUGAUGAUGGAAAUAACUGUAAAGUCGUGUACGGCGGGUGGAUGAGGCGCGAUUAGAGAGAGGAAAUGAGUAGUCGUGCACCAAAUAUAAUUAGAGAGGUAAUGUUUACUUAGUCACUCGGUAGCCGCGAUAACAUCGAGGUAUUAUCGCUGGACUCGGUCGUUAAUAGGGGAAAGCAGAAAACAGAAAGUUUUAUAAUCUUAUCUGUCAGACAAACAUUAGAUGUACGGGUUGCAAUCACUUCACUAAUGGACAUCCCAUUGUUCGGGGUGCGAGUCCGAGACUCCCUUUCCGUCUCUCGUUUCUUUCCUCCCUUAUGGAAUAAUCUCUCUUUCUCUCUCUUGACAAACUUAGUCAUUUUAAUGGCACCGACAAUACUAAGUUAGUGUCUUACAAACAAUCUCUGGCGUUUCCAGCCUUAUGGUCAUUUAUUUUCAUAUAUUUCUCCUCUAUCGAUAUUUUCCCGGUGGUCCAAAAAUUACCAGUUGGCUGGCUUCUCUUCGCCCGCAUCCCGAUUGGAAAAAAAAAAAAAAAAAAACAUUAUAUUUAUAC